rnacentral:sRNA from 2 species
UUAAUAUUGUAGCCGAGAUCCGUUUUUAAGAAAACGGAUGCGGGGGACCCAAUUUUUCGGGGCGUAUUCCUUCAUGGAUAAGGCACUUCCAAGCCCGAGCCCGUCAGCUAACCUCGUAGGCAUGUGGAAGGGCAAUG